rnacentral:lncRNA from 1 species
CGCCGGAUUUGGGAAAGGGCCGCAUCAUUAAGGUUUAUUGUACACAAUCUUAACCUGCAUUUUACUUGAAUCCGUGACCCACUGAUCACACAGAAUCAACUUUAUCUAUCUUUGAAACAAACUAAAAAGAAAAAUAAGACCAAUAACAAAUUGAAACUGGGGGAGUAUUUUCAUGACUAGAGUUAAUUGGACCAAUGCAUGCCAAUAAAAUGGGAAUAAUGUUAGGCUAG